AUUGGUUAGAUCGUCUUCAACUCUUGACUCGAUCAUGAGCACCCUUGGUCCAAUUGCGAUCAACUCCUUGAUCCAUCUCUAAUCAACCCUUGAUCUCGAUCCGCGCAAAUCGUGCUUGUAGAGGCAUGCACCGAUCAACCAUUGACGUGCAAACACAUCACAGAUUACAUCUCAGAUAACUUUAAAAAUAAAUAAAAUUAAAUAAUAGUUACAACCCUUUUUCAUGAGACACGCAGGUCUCUAAUACAUCAAUAUAAGAUGCACGCAGGCAUAUGAAAAUCUGAUUUACA
rnacentral:lncRNA from 1 species